AAAAUGCCCAACCAAUGCGUGGUUAACCUAAAAACCUUAUAUCCCUCUCUUUUCUAUAAUUGUGUUUCCUUACUCCCUCUCUCUUUCGUCCCCUCAUCUCCCUCUCUAUAUCACUAUCUCUUUAUUUACCUAAUUUCUCAGUCUCUGUCUAGAGAUCUCCAUCUCACUAUCUCUAUCUAGUUCUUCUUUUCUCUAUCGACAACAUCUCACCCUUUCUUUUUAUUCUAAGUAACAACGUGUGAGAUGAGAGAUCCCUCUCUCUCAUAUUUUUUGGCCUCAUCGAGUAUAUGUGUGAUUCACCAUCAAACUCCCUCAAACUUCCACUAAUCUCCCUUCACACUCUCUAGUUCGAUCCGCUCUCAGCAGACCUAAAACUCGAAGCACUACCGUCGAUACCAUUCCACUAAAUUCAAAUCAGAAUGAUGAUGCUCGACCACCGUCCCAUUCCGUAGGCCAUGGGGUUUUCUCACAACGACAACAACCAGCCAGGCCUGAGGUACACCCACCACAAAUACCGGGUUGACUUAGGUAAAGGCAAAAGAAAGCUGGACCAUCCUUGAGUUGGAGAGCUUAGGUGAUGACGUGUACAUAUGCAGCUGCUCGACCAAUACUUGGGCGAGGUUUGAAAGUGGAACUAGGGCUGAACCCUGUUUUGCCGCUUAGAACGACCUGUUGUAAACACUUUCUUGUAAUAAACUCUAAAAUUAUAUUUGUGGGAUCCCAAUGUACACAGUAAACGUUCUAGUGAAACGUUAUAUCUUAACCAAAGUUUUUAACCCCUAAACCGCUAAUCAUACUUAGUUACACGUUUAUGGCCAAACGACUCGAUUAGCGAGUUUAGCACUAUUUGCAAUGUGCACUGUAGCGGUCCCUGGAGUUGGGGCGUUACAAAAACCAUAUUUCUUAUGUAACACAUUUCAUUAUCAAUAAAUAAUAGAAAUCAUUUGGUUUGUCAAUGCAUUUCUCACGUAU